AUUUUAGAUCAGAAUAGAAGUCAUUUCCAGCAAAGUAAACUCUUGAAGAUCAUCAUCUUCAUCCUAGGGCUUGCAAAAAUUUCAAAAUCUUGCCAAAGUUUCGUUUUUGAUCCGAUUUAAGCAAUUCUUGCGGCAACGGAACGGGAAAAACGAUACCUACUGAUUCAUGGCUUCAAAUAAAGGUUCUUCGUUUGAUAUCGGAAUUGGACGAUUCUUACGGCAACGGAACAAGCGGGGAAUUAUAUACUUAUCCAGAUCAUCAUUUCAGGACCUGACGACGCGAAUACCGAUGAGGCGCGGAAUUUAUGGAUCGAGAUUAACGUUUUGCUGGAUUAGAGUAAAUGGAUAAACAAGUGAGAUAGUAUGAUAUGAUUUGAAGAGUCAAGCUUCUGAAAUUUUAAUUCUCGGAAGUCAUUUGCACAAGAAGUAAAAGAAGGUUUUCAUUCUAGCGGUCCGCAGUAGUCUAGAUGUUUUGUCUAUGUAUUUGUAUAACGCAUUUUAACUCUGAUGCUUUUGUAAAAUGGGGUCACAUGUAUUUUGAUAUGUUAAAUAUGAUUUGAUUUGCGAAAAAUUUACAAG